AUCCCUGGGAGCUGAGCACAGCCGGGACCGCGACCCCGAGGGCCGGGCAGGGCAGUGCUGAAGCCAGGGCUGUGCCUGCUCCCGAAGCUCAGCGAUUAUUUCACUGCUUCCCACUAUGCCCCAAGAAAAAAGAAGUUUAAGGUGUUUAGGAGGGAUUAACUGAGGAACUGCAGCUUCAUCGUUCCCAAGAGGUGGAGAACA
rnacentral:lncRNA from 12 species